UACGUAGGGUGCGAGCGUUGUCCGGAAUUAUUGGGCGUAAAGAGCUCGUAGGCGGUUUGUCACGUCUGCUGUGAAAUCCCGAGGCUCAACCUCGGGCCUGCAGUGGGUACGGGCAGACUGGAGUGCGGUAGGGGAGAAUGGAAUUCCUGGUGUAGCGGUGGAAUGCGCAGAUAUCAGGAGGAACACCGGUGGCGAAGGCGGAUCUCUGGGCCAUUACUGACGCUGAGGAGCGAAAGCGUGGGGAGCGAACAGG
rnacentral:rRNA from 1 species